rnacentral:rRNA from 1 species
GAUGAACGCUGGCGGCGUGCUUAAUACAUGCAAGUCGAGCGGACGGACGAGACUCUUGCUUCGCUGAUGUUAGCCGCGGACGUGUGAGUAACACGUGUAUACCCUACCUAUAAUACUGGUAUCACCUCGAGAAACCGGAGCUAAUACCGUAGAAUCUUUUGAUCCGCAUUGUUCGAAAGUGAAAUACGGUCUUUCUGGAUCGUAUAGAUGGAUCCCCGCUGCAUUAGCGAGUUGUUAAGGUAACGGCUUAUCAAGGCAACCAUGCCUAACCGACCUGAGGGGGUGAUCGGCAACACUGGAACUGAGACACGGUACAGACUCCUACGGGAGGCAGAAGUAGGGAAUCGUCCGAACAGGGCGAAAGCCUGACGGAGCAACGGAGCGUGAGUGAUGCAGGUCUGCGGAUCGUAAAACGCUGUUAUUAGGAAGAACAUAUGUGUAAGUAAAUGUGCACAGAUUGACGGUAACUAGUAAGAAAGCCACGGCUAACUACGUG